rnacentral:tRNA from 1 species
AGCUUUAUAGUUUAAAAAAAACAUAAAUCUUGUAAAUUUAAAAUAAAUCAAUAAUUUUAAAGCUU